CCCCACCCAGUCGAGGAGCCAACUUACUCAAUCUCAAGUAAUUUGAAUCAGAUGGUGAAGUUAAAGGCAGACAGGACCAUGGUGGGCAUCUGGGUUUUCAGAUUCUUUUUCAGCGAGAUCUCUCCUGUGACUUGGCUGUAUACAUUUUUUUCAUCAGACAGGAGGGGGCGGGACCAGCUCGCUGAGGCGUCUGCUGCGAUUUUUGUAGCUGUUUCUGAAAACACUGGAGAUGGAUUCACUGGUGACAGCGCUGUGGCGGUGAUCUUCCUAAACAAACAAAAGAACAACAGCAAUGAAAUGAAAAGGCGGCUGUCUCCUUGGUCUGCUCCCCCAGCGCCCCCGCCAGCCCUCCGUCCCUCCGGUGUUCUUUCCGGGAGGGGGUGGACGUCACUCGCGUCCCUAUGGUCCGCUCCUUUCUCGCACGUGUGCGUGUAUCCACCGACAGCUCGCAGGGUGGGGUUGCACCUUCUAAGCGUGCAGAUGCGCACCUGCGCUGUACGCGCCACCCUGCACUGGUCCCUGCCGUCCAGGUCACGCCUGACGGCCUCCCCCCCCACCCACCCCCCGCCCCUCGUGAAGCCCCGGCUCGUGUCCACGGAUGGCCGUGCAGGGUCACGAUUCAUGGUCACAGCGGUCGCCUCUGAUUGUGCGCUGUUACAAUGAACAUCUUUGGACGUGUCGGGGGGCGGACAGUGUCGGAGACGGUCCGGGGACUUCCAGGGAGACGGCAGCAGGGUGAGGAGCCUGGGGGCCGCCCUCUCACGCUCUCCCCCGCCGUCUGGAGGGAAGCCGGGCCCCACCGUGAGCUCCCUGCGCGGAGGGCCGUUUUUCCCCUGCCUGCUCAGGCCGCUGCGUCCUUAGCGGAAGUGGGACGGCCCCUUGGACUCCGCUGGCGCCUCUGCGGCUCUCACCGCACUCGGGUCACUGGAGCACAAGCGGAGCGCUUUCUCCGGGGCGGGGUCCCUCCCAGGCCCUCGGGGCCGGGCGCUCUCACACCUUCAGGCCCA
ensembl:lncRNA